rnacentral:rRNA from 1 species
GGGAGGCAGCAGUGGGGAAUAUUGCACAAUGGGGGAAACCCUGAUGCAGCAACGCCGCAUGAGUGAUGACGGCCUUCGGGUUGUAAAGCUCUGUCUUCAGGGACGAUAAUGACGGUACCUGAGGAGGAAGCCACGGCUAACUACGUGCCAGCAGCCGCGGUAAUACGUAGGUGGCGAGCGUUGUCCGGAUUUACUGGGCGUAAAGGGAGCGUAGGCGGACUUUUAAUUGAGAUGUGAAAUACCCGGGCUCAACUUGGGUGCUGCAUUUCAAACUGGAAGUCUAGAGUGCGGGAGAGGAGAAUGGAAUUCCUAGUGUAGCGGUGAAAUGCGUAGAGAUUAGGAAGAACACCAGUGGCGAAGGCGAUUCUCUGGACUGUAACUGACGCUGAGGCUCGAAAG